rnacentral:rRNA from 1 species
UACGUAGGUGGCAAGCGUUAUCCGGAAUUAUUGGGCGUAAAGCGCGCGCAGGCGGUUUCUUAAGUCUGAUGUGAAAGCCCACAGGCUCAACCGUGGAGGGUCAUUGGAAACUGGGGAACUUGAGUGCAGAAGAGAAAAGCGGAAUUCCACGUGUAGCGGUGAAAUGGUCGUAGAGAUGUGGAAGGAACACCAGUGGCGAAGGCGGCUUUUUGGUCGUGUAACUGAACGCUGAG